CGAGUCAAAAUUGAUUGGGUGCAGAAAGAGAAAAAAUUUCUGAGGUUGCAUUCUGGGAGAAGAAAUUUAAAGAGUAUAUGUGGAGUGAAAAGAAAUGUGUUUAAUUUUGGGAUUAGAAAGAGAGAAAAAGAUUAAUUGAUCAUAAGAUCCAAAAUAUGAAUAAGUAUUAGCCGCAAAUUAUGAUUUUUAAGAUAAAAGCUGAAAAUUUCAUAACUAUUUAUUAUAUGAGCAAAGAAAGUCUCUUCCUUCACUAAAUUGCUGCUGGAUCACGAAUGG
rnacentral:lncRNA from 1 species